AUCGAGGCUAGAGUCACGCUUGGGUAUCAACUAUUGCCUUAGUGUGCUAGAGCUCUCGAAAAGUAACUACUGACCUUAUUCACUGACUAUGGCCCCCAUGGCAUAGUCAGUCACCAGGUUCGUAACAUGC
rfam:Pteropus alecto contig8199, whole genome shotgun sequence.